AUACGUAGGGGGCGAGCGUUGUCCGGAAUGAUUGGGCGUAAAGGGCGCGUAGGCGGCCCGGUAAGUCUGGAGUGAAAGUCCUGUUUUUAAGAUGGGAAUUGCUUUGGAUACUGUCGGGCUUGAGUGCAGGAGAGGUAAGUGGAAUUCCCAGUGUAGCGGGGGAAUGCGUAGAGAUUGGGAGGAACACCAGUGGCGAAGGCGACUUACUGGACUGUAACUGACGCUGAGGCGCGAAAGUGUGGGGAGCAAACAGGAUUAGAUACCCUGGUAGUCCACACUGUAAACGAUGAAUGCUAGGUGUAGGGGGUAUCGACCCCUUCUGUGCCGCAGUCAACACAAUAAGCAUUCCGCCUGGGGAGUACGGCCGCAAGGUUGAAACUCAAAUGAAUUGACGGGG
rnacentral:rRNA from 1 species